rnacentral:rRNA from 1 species
UGGGGAAUAUUGCACAAUGGGCGCAAGCCUGAUGCAGCCAUGCCGCGUGUAUGAAGAAGGCCUUCGGGUUGUAAAGUACUUUCAGCGGGGAGGAAGGCGAUAAGGUUAAUAACCUUGUCGAUUGACGUUACCCGCAGAAGAAGCACCGGCUAACUCCGUGCCAGCAGCCGCGGUAAUACGGAGGGUGCAAGCGUUAAUCGGAAUUACUGGGCGUAAAGCGCACGCAGGCGGUCUGUCAAGUCGGAUGUGAAAUCCCCGGGCUCAACCUGGGAACUGCAUUCGAAACUGGCAGGCUAGAGUCUUGUAGAGGGGGGUAGAAUUCCAGGUGUAGCGGUGAAAUGCGUAGAGAUCUGGAGGAAUACCAGUGGCGAAGGCGGCCCCCUGGACAAAGACUGACGCUCAGGUGCGAAA